UUUAUAUGAGAGUUUGAUCCUGGCUCAGGAUGAACGCCGGCGGUGUGCCUAAUACAUGCAAGUCGAACGCGUUGGCCCAAUUGAUUGAUGGUGCUUGCACCUGAUUGAUUUUGGUCGCCAACGAGUGGCGGACGGGUGAGUAACACGUAGGUAACCUGCCCAGAAGCGGGGGACAACAUUUGGAAACAGAUGCUAAUACCGCAUAACAGCGUUGUUCGCAUGAACAACGCUUAAAAGAUGGCUUCUCGCUAUCACUUCUGGAUGGACCUGCGGUGCAUUAGCUUGUUGGUGGGGUAACGGCCUACCAAGGCGAUGAUGCAUAGCCGAGUUGAGAGACUGAUCGGCCACAAUGGGACUGAGACACGGCCCAUACUCCUACGGGAGGCAGCAGUAGGGAAUCUUCCACAAUGGGCGCAAGCCUGAUGGAGCAACACCGCGUGAGUGAAGAAGGGUUUCGGCUCGUAAAGCUCUGUUGUUAAAGAAGAACACGUAUGAGAGUAACUGUUCAUACGUUGACGGUAUUUAACCAGAAAGUCACGGCUAACUACGUGCCAGCAGCCGCGGUAAUACGUAGGUGGCAAGCGUUAUCCGGAUUUAUUGGGCGUAAAGAGAGUGCAGGCGGUUUUCUAAGUCUGAUGUGAAAGCCUUCGGCUUAACCGGAGAAGUGCAUCGGAAACUGGAUAACUUGAGUGCAGAAGAGGGUAGUGGAACUCCAUGUGUAGCGGUGGAAUGCGUAGAUAUAUGGAAGAACACCAGUGGCGAAGGCGGCUACCUGGUCUGCAACUGACGCUGAGACUCGAAAGCAUGGGUAGCGAACAGGAUUAGAUACCCUGGUAGUCCAUGCCGUAAACGAUGAGUGCUAGGUGUUGGAGGGUUUCCGCCCUUCAGUGCCGGAGCUAACGCAUUAAGCAC
rnacentral:rRNA from 2 species